CUAAACGUUAACGUGUGUGUGUGUGUGGAUGGCUAAAAUUCUGAAGUGCAAAAUAGUUCAGGCUACAGCACAAAUAUUUCCAUCCAUAGAUACGAAUAAUCAAGUCCAACCUCUGAAUUUAUUUUCAAAGUGCACCAGAUU